rnacentral:rRNA from 1 species
AACGAACGCUGGCGGCAGGCUUAACACAUGCAAGUCGAGCGCCCCGCAAGGGGAGCGGCAGACGGGUGAGUAACGCGUGGGAAUCUACCCAUCUCUACGGAAUAACGCAUGGAAACGUGUGCUAAUACCGUAUACGUCCUUCGGGAGAAAGAUUUAUCGGAGAUGGAUGAGCCCGCGUUGGAUUAGCUAGUUGGUGGGGUAAAGGCCUACCAAGGCGACGAUCCAUAGCUGGUCUGAGAGGAUGAUCAGCCACACUGGGACUGAGACACGGCCCGGAAUCCGACGGGAGGCAGCAGUGGGGAAUAUUGGACAAUGGGCGCAAGCCUGAUCCAGCCAUGCCGCGUGAGUGAUGAAGGGCCUAGGGUUGUAAAGCUCUUUCACCGGUGAAGAUAAUGACGGUAACCGGAGAAGAAGCCCCGGCUAACUUCGUGCCAGCCGCCGCCGUAACAC